rnacentral:rRNA from 1 species
CCUACGGGAGGCAGCAGUGAGGAAUAUUGGACAAUGGAUGGAAAUCUGAUCCAGCCAUGCCGCGUGCAGGAAGACGGCCCUAUGGGUUGUAAACUGCUUUUAUACGGGAGCAAUAAGGUCUANGCAUAGAUUGAUGAGAGUACCGUAUGAAUAAGCAUCGGCUAACUCCGUGCCAGCAGCCGCGGUAAUACGGAGGAUGCGAGCGUUAUCCGGAUUUAUUGGGUUUAAAGGGUGCGUAGGCGGCCUUGUAAGUCAGCGGUGAAAUUUUGCAGCUUAACUGUAAAAGNGCCGUUGAUACUGUGAAGCUAGGAUUUGGUUGCUGUGGGCGGAAUGUGUGGUGUAGCGGUGAAAUGCAUAGAGAUCACACAGAAUAUCGAUUGCGAAGGCAGCUCACAAAGCCAA